rnacentral:rRNA from 1 species
UACGUAGGGGGCAAGCGUUGUCCGGAAUCAUUGGGCGUAAAGGGCGCGUAGGCGGAUCAUUAAGUCUGGUGUGAAAACUUGGGGCUCAACCCCAAGCCUGCAUCGGAAACUGUUGAUCUUGAGGACAGGAGAGGAAAGUGGAAUUCCACGUGUAGCGGUGAAAUGCGUAGAGAUGUGGAGGAACACCAGUGGCGAAGGCGACUUUCUGGACUGUAACUGACGCUGAGGCGCGAAAGCGUGGGGAGCAAACAGG